UCUUUCCCCGGUCUGCCUCACCCAGUGCAUCCCUUUUGUCAUGGAAAGUGGCGUCGAGAGAUCUGACGCCCCCCCCCCCCUUCUGGAUUUUGCCCCCCUCCCCAUUUAUUCGGCAGUUUCUUACUCGCAUUUCUUAUUCUGUAAUAGCACCAUAUAUAUAUUCAUAUUGAAAGAAGACAAUUUUUAUUAGUGUUUGUUCGUGUGUAUGAUAGGUUGAAGUCGCGAGUGCCUUUUGUAUGUCAUAGAAUGCCGGCUGGUCUUUUGUUGUCUUCUAGUCUUCGUAGGCUACUAGUAUGCACUUCUUGACGGCAUGCAGGGGAGUCUAGGUGAUACAGUUGUCGUUCCUAGAUGAGGGUGGUUUCGCUACCCAAACAUGAGAGCCGUUUCGAUAUUCCUCCGCACUAUUUCCGUCGAAAGCAAAGUCAAAUGCCGACUGCAAUAUCAUCGCUACAGUUGUAUACGGAAGUUCCUUGAUCCUUGAAGCCAUGGGAGAGAACUUUGGCCCGACGGUGGUCCUGUUAUUAUUAGUUGCAGCUGACGUCCUGUCGUCCUGUUCCGCGAUCUUGAGUAGAAACUCCUUGCUGAUGUAAAAUAAUGACCAAUGUUCCUCGGUACCAUCAGAUAACGCACCCUGGUAUAUAGACACACUUGGACAGCAAGAACGCACAUCCACACGCAAAGACGCGGAAUUCACAAUACCAACUCAACUGAAGAAUUUGAAAAUUGUGACUGGCACGUUGAUUGGCCGAAGGUUUGACCCUAUAAUUGUGCGAGGAGAAAUUCUAUUGGCUUUUUCUGAAGAAUUUGCAUGGGCACAGACACAAAGAGCUGUGAACUACCGCUAGUACCAGCCAUGAUGUCUAUUGUUACAAUCACGUCAAGGAGGUUGUUUGAGCUGCCUGAUUACCCGUAUUUCACUUCACAGUAAAACAAUACCUGCCUAGAAAGAUGUGAAACAUGCCGCUGUGAUUAUCAACAGCUUGAAACAUCGGUAGAAAUUUAACGUUCAACGUUGUCAUUUAGUUUGUACAAUCAAGAACAUAACCCGGGACAAAAAUUUAGUACAUCGAGUCAAGGAGGUUAUAUCUUAACAUAGAUCAUUUCACUCAGUUUGUGCGUCGACAGUAGCCAAAGUUAGAGACAGUAACCAAGAAAAUGGACUGUAUUUUGUCCCGUGUUCUCUCUAUUCUUUUGACAAAAAGCUGCCCAUAAAUCAGAUCGCAGUCCUAUGUUUUCCCUAUGUCCAACGUCGUUUCAGUUCAACUUCCUCGCUAUGACGCGACAGGCACUCUAUAAAAACAUCGUACAUCACUAA